UACGUAGGUGACCAGCGUUGUCCGGAUUUACUGGGCGUAAAGAGCGCGCAGGCGGUCGUUCAAGUCGAGUGUGAAAGCCCCCGGCUCAACUGGGGAGGGUCACUUGAUACUGAUCGACUCGAAGGCAGGAGAGGGAAGCGGAAUUCCAGGUGUAGCGGUGAAAUGCGUAGAUAUCUGGAGGAACACCGGUGGUGUAAACGGCUUUCUGGACCAUUACUGACGUGAUGCACGAAAGCGUGGGUAGCAAACAGG
rnacentral:rRNA from 1 species